ACGGGCCAUACCACCCGGGAACGCGCCCGAUCUCAUCUGAGCUCGGAAGCUAAGCAGGAUCGGGCCUGGUUAGUACUUGGAUGGGAGAAUGAGACCCUGCCCCAGUC
rnacentral:rRNA from 1 species